rnacentral:rRNA from 1 species
CGCAAGCCUGAUGCAGCGACGCCGCGUGAGGGAUGACGGCCUUCGGGUUGUAAACCUCUGUUAGCAGGGAAGAAGAGAGAUUGACGGUACCUGCAGAGAAAGCGCCGGCUAACUACGUGCCAGCAGCCGCGGUAAUACGUAGGGCGCGAGCGUUGUCCGGAAUUAUUGGGCGUAAAGAGCUUGUAGGCGGUUUGUCGCGUCUGCUGUGAAAGGCCGGGGCUUAACUCCGUGUAUUGCAGUGGGUACGGGCAGACUAGAGUGCAGUAGGGGAGACUGGAAUUCCUGGUGUAGCGGUGGAAUGCGCAGAUAUCAGGAGGAACACCGAUGGCGAAGGCAGGUCUCUGGGCUGUAACUGACGCUGAGAAGCGAAAGCAUGGGGAGCGAACAGGAUUAGAUACCCUGGUAGUCCAUGCCGUAAACGUUGCCCACAAGGGGUGGGGACAUUCCACGUUUUCCGCGCCGUAGUAAACGCAUUAAAGUACCCCGCCUGGGGAAGUACGGCCGCAAGGCUAAAACUCAAAGAAAUUGACGGGGGCCCGCACAAGCGGCGGAGCAUGCGGAUUAAUUCGAUGCAACGCGAAGAACCUUACCAAGGCUUGACAUAUACUGGACCGCAUCAGAGAUGGUGUUUCCCUUCGGGGCUGGUAUACAGGUGGUGCAUGGUUGUCGUCAGCUCGUGUCGUGAGAUGUUGGGUUAAGUCCCGCAACGAGCGCAACCCUCGUUCUAUGUUGCCAGCACGUUAUGGUGGGGACUCAUAGGAGACUGCCGGGGUCAACUCGGAGGAAGGUGGGGAUGACGUCAAAUCAUCAUGCCCCUUAUGUCUUGGGCUACACACGUGCUACAAUGGAUAGGAACAAAGAGAAGCUAACUCGCGAGAGCAAGCAAACCUCAUAAAACUAUUCUCAGUUCGGAUUGUAGUCUGCAACUCGACUACAUGAAGCUGGAAUCGCUAGUAAUCGCGAAUCAGAAUGUCGCGGUGAAUACGUUCCCGGGUCUUGCACACACCGCCCGUCAAG